AUACGGAGGAUGCGAGCGUUAUCCGGAUUUAUUGGGUUUAAAGGGAGCGUAGGUGGGAUAUUAAGUCAGCUGUGAAAGUUUGGGGCUCAACCUUAAAAUUGCAGUUGAUACUGGUUUCCUUGAGUACGGUACAGGUGGGCGGAAUUCGUGGUUUAGCGGUGAGAUGCUUAGAUAUCACGAAGAACUCCGAUCGCGAAGGCAGCUCACCGGGCCGGAACUGACACUGAUGCUCGAAAGUGCGGGUAUCAAACAGGAUUAGAUACCCUGGUAGUCCGCACAGUAAACGAUGAAUACUCGCUGUUUGCGAUACACUGUAAGCGGCCAAGCGAAAGCGUUUAGUAUUCCACCUGGGGAGUACGCCGGCAACGGUGAAACUCAAAUGAAUUGGCGGGG
rnacentral:rRNA from 1 species